GGUCUCUGGGCCCGCAGCUGUGAGGAGGACGCUCUGCUCUGCAGUCUCUGCGCCCCGCCGGCUCCCUCCCCUGAGUCCCUGUGACCACCACAGCGAAAAUGGCCUCAGGAGUGCAAGUUGCUGAUGAAGUAUGUCGCAUUUUUUAUGACAUGAAAGUUAGGAAAUGCUCCACACCAGAAGAAAUCAAAAAAAGAAAGAAGGCUGUCAUUUUUUGUCUCAGUGCAGACAAAAAGUGCAUCAUUGUAGAAGAAGGCAAAGAGAUCUUGGUUGGAGAUGUUGGUGUAACCAUAACUGAUCCUUUCAAGCAUUUUGUGGGAAUGCUUCCUGAAAAAGAUUGUCGCUAUGCUUUAUAUGAUGCAAGCUUUGAAACCAAGGAAUCCAGAAAAGAAGAGUUGAUGUUUUUGUUGUGGGCACCAGAACUUGCACCUCUGAAAAGUAAAAUGAUCCAUGUGAGCUCCAAGGAUGCAAUCAAAAAGAAAUUUCAAGGCAUUAUGAAAUUUGAAAUUCAUGAGCUUUGCAACAUCUUCACAUCAGGACAAAUAACCCCCCUGCUGUUGAAAUCACUUGCAUAA